CCUACGGGUGGCUGCAGUGGGGAAUAUUGGACAAUGGGGGGAACCCUGAUCCAGCCAUGCCGCGUGUGUGAAGAAGGCCCUCGGGUUGUAAAGCACUUUCAGUGAGGAAGAACGCCUGGUGGUUAAUACCCAUCAGGAAAGACAUCACUCACAGAAGAAGCACCGGCUAACUCCGUGCCAGCAGCCGCGGUAAUACGGAGGGUGCGAGCGUUAAUCGGAAUUACUGGGCGUAAAGCGCGCGUAGGUGGCUUGAUAAGCCGGGUGUGAAAGCCCCGGGCUCAACCUGGGAACGGCAUCCGGAACUGUCAAGCUAGAGUGCAGGAGAGGAAGGUAGAAUUCCCGGUGUAGCGGUGAAAUGCGUAGAGAUCGGGAGGAAUACCAGUGGCGAAGGCGGCCUUCUGGACUGACACUGACACUGAGGUGCGAAAGCGUGGGUAGCAAACAGGAUUAGAUACCCGAGUAGUC
rnacentral:rRNA from 1 species